rnacentral:rRNA from 1 species
CGUUGCGGGGGGCCUAACACAUGCAGUCGAGCGGUAGCACAGAGAGCUUGCUCUCGGGUGACGAGCGGCGGACGGGUGAGUAAUGUCUGGGAAACUGCCUGAUGGAGGGGGAUAACUACUGGAAACGGUAGCUAAUACCGCAUAACGUCGCAAGACCAAAGUGGGGGACCUUCGGGCCUCAUGCCAUCAGAUGUGCCCAGAUGGGAUUAGCUGGUAGGUGGGGUAACGGCUCACCUAGGCGACGAUCCCUAGCUGGUCUGAGAGGAUGACCAGCCACACUGGAACUGAGACACGGUCCAGACUCCUACGGGAGGCAGCAGUGGGGAAUAUUGCACAAUGGGCGCAAGCCUGAUGCAGCCAUGCCGCGUGUGUGAAGAAGGCCUUCGGGUUGUAAAGCACUUUCAGCGGGGAGGAAGGCGGUGAGGUUAAUAACCUCAUCGAUUGACGUUACCCGCAGAAGAAGCACCGGCUAACUCCGUGCCAGCAGCCGCGGUAAUACGGAGGGUGCAAGCGUUAAUCGGAAUUACUGGGCGUAAAGCGCACGCAGGCGGUCUGUCAAGUCGGAUGUGAAAUCCCCGGGCUCAACCUGGGAACUGCAUUCGAAACUGGCAGGCUAGAGUCUUGUAGAGGGGGGUAGAAUUCCAGGUGUAGCGGUGAAAUGCGUAGAGAUCUGGAGGAAUACCGGUGGCGAAGGCGGCCCCCUGGACAAAGACUGACGCUCAGGUGCGAAAGCGUGGGGAGCAAACAGGAUUAGAUACCCUGGUAGUCCACGCUGUAAACGAUGUCGAUUUGGAGGUUGUGCCCUUGAGGCGUGGCUUCCGGAGCUAACGCGUUAAAUCGACCGCCUGGGGAGUACGGCCGCAAGGUUAAAACUCAAAUGAAUUGACGGGGGCCCGCACAAGCGGUGGAGCAUGUGGUUUAAUUCGAUGCAACGCGAAGAACCUUACCUGGUCUUGACAUCCACAGAACUUAGCAGAGAUGGUUUGGUGCCUUCGGGAACUGUGAGACAGGUGCUGCAUGGCUGUCGUCAGCUCGUGUUGUGAAAUGUUGGGUUAAGUCCCGCAACGAGCGCAACCCUUAUCCUUUGUUGCCAGCGGUUAGGCCGGGAACUCAAAGGAGACUGCCAGUGAUAAACUGGAGGAAGGUGGGGAUGACGUCAAGUCAUCAUGGCCCUUACGACCAGGGCUACACACGUGCUACAAUGGCAUAUACAAAGAGAAGCGACCUCGCGAGAGCAAGCGGACCUCAUAAAGUAUGUCGUAGUCCGGAUUGGAGUCUGCAACUCGACUCCAUGAAGUCGGAAUCGCUAGUAAUCGUAGAUCAGAAUGCUACGGUGAAUACGUUCCCGGGCCUUGUACACACCGCCCGUCACACCAUGGGAGUGGGUUGCAAAAGAAGUAGGUAG